CCUACGGGAGGCAGCAGUGAGGAAUAUUGGUCAAUGGGCGCGAGCCUGAACCAGCCAAGUAGCGUGAAGGAUGACUGCCCUACGGGUUGUAACCUUCUUUUAUAAAGGAAUAAAGUGAGGCACGUGUGCCUUUUUGUAUGUACUUUAUGAAUAAGGAUCGGCUAACUCCGUGCCAGCAGCCGCGGUAAUACGGAGGAUCCGAGCGUUAUCCGGAUUUAUUGGGUGUAACGGGAGAGGAGAUGGGUUGUUAAGUCAGUUGUGAAAGUUUGCGGCUCAACCGUAAAAUUGCAAUUGAUACUGGGAGUCUUGAGUACAGGUGAGGUAGGUGGAAUUCGUGGUGUAGCGGUGAAAUGCUUAGAUAUCACGAAGAACUCCGAUUGCGAAGGCAGCUUACUAAACUGCCACUGACAUUGAUGCUCGAAAGUGUGGGUAUCAAACAGGAUUAGAUACCCGAGUAGUC
rnacentral:rRNA from 1 species